GCGGCGCGCUUACACAUGCAAGUCGAACGAGAAAGCCCCUUCUGGUGUGAGUACAAUGGCGCCCGGGUUAAUAACACCUGAGUAACCUGACCUUUGGUGAGGAACAACAUCUGGAAACGGAUGCUAAUACCUUAUAAGUCAAUUUCGGUCGGGAAAGAUGGCAUUAGCUAUCGCCAUGGGAUGGGCCUGCGUCCCAUCACCUAGUUGGGAGGGUAACGGACUACCACGGCGACGACUGGUAGCUUGUCUGAGCAUGAUAAUCAACCACACUGGAACUGAGACACGAUCCAGACUCCAUACCGUAGGCAACAGCUGGGGAAUAUAGCUCAGUGGGCGAAAUCCUAACGCUAACGACGCCGUGUGAGUGAUGAAAGCUCACGGGGUCAUAGAGCUCUUGUCGUAGAGGGAAGAACAAGCAAUACGGGUAAAUAUUCGUAUGCCCUGACGGUACCUUUACAGAAAGCCCCGGCUAACUCCGUGCCAGCAGCCGCGGUAAUACGGAGGGUGCGAACGUUGUCCGGAAUCACUGGGCGUAAAGAGCAUGUAGGCGGCUCGUUAAGUCAGAUGUGAAAUCCCGCGGCUCAACCGCGGAACAGCAUUUGAAACUGGCAGGAUCGAAUACGGUAGAGGGUUGUAGAAUACCACGUGUAGAGGUGAAAUUCGUAGAUAUCUGGUAGAAUACCGGUGGCGAAGGCGGCAACCUGGACCGAUAUUGGCGCUGAGAUGCGAAAGCGUGGGUAGCGAACAGGAUUAGAUACCCUGGUAGUCCACGCCGU
rnacentral:rRNA from 1 species